rnacentral:lncRNA from 1 species
CACAACUCUUUAUUUAUUUGAUUUUUUAUCUAUAUGCCAGAUAGGGCUGGCUGUUGUAAUAGGAGCCACCAGCAGCCCUGGAUGGAGAAAAGAUGGUCCAGGAGACAGACAUACCUACAAUGCUGCAUAGGCCAGGCCUGGGUGCUGGGCCUGAGCUUACAUGGAUCCUGGGGAGAUGAGCAGGCCUGUGUGGCUGAGGGUCCUAGCUGAGGCCACUCAGGGCAAUGGCAGCCUACAGGUGCCCUCAGGGCUGUCACACUUGGAGGUGCUUUGGUUUAAAUUGGACAUAAUGCAUGGGAAUAGGGCUGCUUAGGUUCUGGUUGGGUGGUUCUUCCUUUUUGUGUGCCUGCCCUGAUAGUGCUGCAUGUAUGGGGGGAAAUAGACUGGCUACAGCACCCCAAGGGUCUGUUUGUCUUUCCUUUGAAACUACAACGUGGUGGAUUCAGCAACAUGAGUUCUUCAGCCCUGGAAAGAAUCCAAAUCAUAUGGAGCUUGACUCUGGAGAAAGUGUUAACAACAGGCUAAGGCUGUGCUCCCAGAGAAGAUGUGGACCUGCGUUUAAUUGGACUCCUCUCAAAUAGCCCUGCUGUCCUCAGUUGGGGGUCUGUCCAUGCAGAUGGACAGGCUUAUACUGAAACACCUGCAAGACUGGCUUAAAGAUUGACCUGAACCACUAACAGUAUUUUGGAGUCAACAAAAUCCUAAAUUAUCAGUUCCC